UACGGGGGGGGCAAGCGUUGUUCGGAAUUACUAGGCGUAAAGGGCGCGUAGGCGGCCUGCUAAGUCGGACGUGAAAUCCCUCGGCUCAACCUCGGAACUGCCUUCGAUACUGCGGGUCUCGAGUCCGGGAGAGGUGAGUGGGAAUUCCUAGUGUAGAGGUGAAAUUCGUAGAUAUUCGGAAGAACACCAGUGGCGAAGGCGACUCACUGGACAUGUAUUGACGCUGAGGUGCGAAAGCGUGGGGAGCAAACAGGG
rnacentral:rRNA from 1 species